rnacentral:rRNA from 1 species
AACGAACGCUGGCGGCAUGCCUAACACAUGCAAGUCGAACGAGACCUUCGGGUCUAGUGGCGCACGGGUGCGUAACGCGUGGGAACCUGCCCUUAGGUUCGGAAUAACUCCCCGAAAGGGGUGCUAAUACCGGAUAAUGUCUUCGGACCAAAGAUUUAUCGCCUUUGGAUGGGCCCGCGUUGGAUUAGCUAGUUGGUAGGGUAAAAGCCUACCAAGGCGACGAUCCAUAGCUGGUCUGAGAGGAUGAUCAGCCACACUGGGACUGAGACACGGCCCAGACUCCUACGGGAGGCAGCAGUGGGGAAUAUUGGACAAGGGGCGAAAGCCUGAUCCAGCAAUGCCGCGUGAGUGAUGAAGGCCUUAGGGUUGUAAAGCUCUUUUACACGGGAUGAUAAUGACAGUACCGGGAGAAUAAGCUCCGGCUAACUCCGUG